GAUAUUAAUAAAUAUUAUAAAAAGUUUACAUUGUUUAGUUUUUACUAAAUAUAUACAUGGAAUUCGGUUAAUAUACGUAUUGAAUUAAUGGUUGUGCUUCGACGUCUCACGUGGGCUCACGAUUUAUUACAGCAACUCAAACGUCAGCGCCACUAUUGGAAAAAUAUGGAUUCUGCACUCUUAGAACCGCCAGCCAGUGUGCGGGGCAUGCUUGAAUUGAAACGUGAUUCCUUCAAAAAGCUUGUACAAUUACCACGUUUACGAGUGGCGGAAACUGAAUCAAAUAAAGUAUUACCACUCGUGAAAAAGUUGCUAUUGAAGAUGGAGAAAUUGCGGCCAGUGCGCGUCUUAGAGAUAAAAAGUGAAGAAGGAGUGGAUGCACCGCCACCGAUGCGCGAAAUACUACUUCACCCCUUGGCAGUGCAAUCGUGGGAUUGUCUGCCUACUACAGAACUUUUAAAAUUAAAAGUUGAACAUACAAAUUUUUACUAUGCCGAAUUGGAGCUUAACUAUGAUAAUUGGCGCGCAGAUGAAAUUUUCAAGAGUGUAUUGCCCGCAGAUGAUGAGGGGCUCACGUCUUAUUCACGUAUUGGUCAUAUAGUGCAUUUAAAUCUAAGAGAUCACUUAUUGCCUUAUAAAAAUCUAAUUGGGCAAGUCUUAUUAGACAAAGUGCCCGGUUGUCGUACGGUCGUAAACAAGGCAGCAACAAUUGAUAAUACAUAUCGUAACUUUCAGUUGGAAUUGAUUUGUGGUGAACCGCAAUAUCAAGUUGAAACUAAAGAAAAUGGUGUCGCGUUUGAGUUUGACUUCUCGCGUGUCUACUGGAAUCCACGUUUAUCCACCGAACAUGAAAGAAUCACAAAAAUACUCAAUCCAAAUGAUGUGCUCUAUGAUGUUUUCGCUGGCGUGGGACCAUUUAGUGUGCCGGCUGCACGUAAAAAGUGUUGGGUGCUUGCAAACGACUUAAAUCCAGAGAGUUAUAAAUGGUUACAGCACAACGGUAAACGUAACAAAUGCUUGACGCACAUGAAGACUUUCAAUAAAGAUGGGCGCCUGUUUUUACUAGAAGAUGUGAAACCUGAUUUAUUGAAACGUUGGAAAGUACAAGGAGCUGAUCAAGCUGCAGAUUACAGCAUUCAUAUAACAAUGAAUCUACCAGCUAUGGCGGUGGAAUUUCUAGAUGCUUUUCGUGGUUUCCUAAACGCUGAUGAAGCGGAGGAAUUCCGUAAGCAGCAAUUAAAUUAUCCCACUGUGCAUGUGUACUGCUUCGCAAAGGGCGAGGAUACAAAAACACUUGCGCGUGCUUUGGUUGAAGAUAAUUUGGGUUUAGCGCUAACAGACAAUUUGGAGGGCGUACAUUUUGUGCGCAAUGUCGCACCCAAUAAGGACAUGUACCGAAUUUCAUUUCGACUCACGCAUGAAAUUUUAACAACGCCGUUUGUUAGGAAAUCUGCUGAACAGUUACAGCGUAAACGUGCAGCCUCCGAAAUAGAAGCAGAUGCGAAUAUAGCCAACAAAGUAAAAUGCAAUUGAAAGUUAUAUAAUUUUAAGCACAAACUCAAUAAAUAUUUUAUAAAUUUAAUUAAGGCGAAGAGACUUUCAUUUCUACUUGAACUAAAAAUGGCACGCAAAUCAAAGACACCAGCUGGUAAAAAGAGUGCUGCUGCACCAGCUAAGACUGCCAUCAACAAGUCCAAGAAGGACAAGAAUAUAUUUAAAGUCAACGAUGCCAAAAAUAAGAAGAAA